UUUCCCCUGUGUGGGCGAUCCUUGGGUCCCAUGUGGGGUCAGUGUUUGGGUCUCUCUGAGAGGAUCAGGAAGGCUGCUCUUCCAGGAAGGGCUGCAGGGACCCUGGGAACUGGACCAGCCCAGCUCACAAGUAUGAAGAGAAUGUCGGGAGAGGAAGUGGUGGCUAUGAGUCAGCAUGAGUCAUCUCGUUCCAAUGAGAAUGAAGUCUGAGGUGUGCGCCUUUUUUUUUCCUUCUUAGUCGUGUGGACAUCAUUGGGAAUGGAGGGAAAUGAAUGACUGUAUGGUUGCUGCUUUUUAAGUUUCAAACUGACAUUCUAGGCAAGCGGUGCCCGAGCCCCUGCGUGUCUUCAGAUCUUCACAGCACAGUUCCUGAGAAGGUGGAGCCAUCAGCCUCUCCCUGGCUCCUUCUGAAACUGAACACACACAUUCAGCUGGGGACACCUAGAUGGAAGAAAAAGAAAGAGAAGAACCCAAAGUGA
rnacentral:lncRNA from 13 species